UACGUAGGGUGCAAGCGUUGUCCGGAAUUAUUGGGCGUAAAGAGCUUGUAGGCGGUUUGUCGCGUCUGCUGUGAAAUUUCGGGGCUCAACCCCGAACUUGCAGUGGGUACGGGCAGACUAGAGUGUGGUAGGGGAGACUGGAAUUCCUGGUGUAGCGGUGAAAUGCGCAGAUAUCAGGAAGAACACCGAUGGCGAAGGCAGGUCUCUGGGCCAUAACUGACGCUGAGAAGCGAAAGCAUGGGGAGCGAACAGG
rnacentral:rRNA from 1 species